rnacentral:rRNA from 1 species
GUGGGGGAACGUUUCGAAAGGAACGCUAAUACCGCAUACGUCCUACGGGAGAAAGCAGGGGACCUUCGGGCCUUGCGCUAUCAGAUGAGCCUAGGUCGGAUUAGCUAGUUGGUGAGGUAAUGGCUCACCAAGGCGACGAUCCGUAACUGGUCUGAGAGGAUGAUCAGUCACACUGGAACUGAGACACGGUCCAGACUCCUACGGGAGGCAGCAGUGGGGAAUAUUGGACAAUGGGCGAAAGCCUGAUCCAGCCAUGCCGCGUGUGUGAAGAAGGUCUUCGGAUUGUAAAGCACUUUAAGUUGGGAGGAAGGGCAGUAAGUUAAUACCUUGCUGUUUUGACGUUACCGACAGAAUAAGCACCGGCUAACUCUGUGCCAGCAGCCGCGGGUAAUACGAA